GCGUCUCGUCUAGAAGCUGCAGCUUGGCCUGUCUCACCUCUACACAGAGGGGCUGCUGGCGCCUGACGGAAAAAGGUCCACACACCCGAUGGCCGGCCCGGGGUGGACGCUGCUGCUACUGCUGCUGCUGCUGCUGCUGCUGGGGUCCAUGGCAGGGUAUGGGCCACAGAAGAAGUUGAACCUGUCCCAUAAGGGCAUCGGGGAGCCAUGCAGGAGACACGAGGAGUGCCAGAGCAACUGCUGUACCAUCAACAGCCUGGCCCCACACACGCUCUGCACCCCUAAGACCAUCUUCCUGCAGUGCCUGCCCUGGAGGAAGGUGAGCCCAAUGGGUACAGAUGCUCGCACGACUCAGAGUGCCAGAGCAGCUGCUGCGUCCGCAACAACAGCCCGCAGGAGUUGUGCACGCCCCAAAGCGUCUUCCUGCAGUGUGUGCCCUGGCGCAAGCCCAACGGCGACUUCUGCAGCAGCCAUCAGGAGUGUCACAGCCAGUGCUGCAUCCAGCUGAGGGAGUACAGCCCCUUCCGCUGCAUUCCCCGGACCGGGAUCCUGGCCCAGUGCCUGCCCCUGUGAUGUGAGCUCGAACCUGGGCGCGAGGGACCGGCCUGGGCCCUGGGAUGUUCACGCAGGACCGCGUUGCGCGGGGGCUGGUUCCAGCGGAAGCUUCCCUUACGGUUUGUGCUGCUGUUUCUGGGGCUCUGAAAAUCUGUGGGAACUGAAAGGCUGUGACCAGCCUGGUGGCGCGAAGUGUCUGUGAGAACAAAUCCCAGGCACUGGGGUGUAGCCUGAUUGUUAAACAUCAAUAAAGGCUCCUGGCCGACUGAG
rnacentral:lncRNA from 1 species